UACGGGGGGGGCAAGCGUUGUUCGGAAUUACUGGGCGUAAAGGGCUCGUAGGUGGCCAACUAAGUCACACGUGAAAUCCCUCGGCUUAACCGGGGAACUGCGUGUGAUACUGGAUGGCUUGAGUUUGGGAGAGGGAUGCGGAAUUCCAGGUGUAGCGGUGAAAUGCGUAGAUAUCUGGAGGAACACCGGUGGCGAAGGCGGCCCGCUGGGCAGGAAGGUUCGCAAGAGCCGGCUGACGCUGAGGCGCGACAGCGUGGGGAGCAAACAGG
rnacentral:rRNA from 1 species